rnacentral:rRNA from 1 species
AUGUGCUUCUCUUUUACUUCUCUGUUUAUUUCUAAAAAGAAAAAAGAAAAAAAAAAGUGGAGAGAGGAGCAGCGCAGCAGCCAGCCCACUACUUGCCUGCCUAGCGAAGGCCCUCCUUUCCCCUUAACCCUAGCGAUGACGCCCGAGAAUCUCGACCCCUUCUGCGCCGCCACACACCACACAAGCUCCUCGAGAUCUCCUCGCCCCCACAUCGGCGAGCUCCUCCGCCACGCCUCCCCUUCCCUUCCCCAUCCUCCUCCUGCUUUUUUCGCGCCUAGCCAAGAGCCUCCAACACGCUCGCGUGAGGCCUCGCGCCCGCGCCACCCUCCGGCGCCACCUUCCUCCCUCCUCUCCUCUCAUGCCUCGUGCGCGCCGAACGCGCCUCUCCUCCCUGCUCGAUCGGGCGCACAGAAGGGCGCCUCCCAUGGCUGCCGUUGCCCGACGUUGUUGCUUAGAGCAUGGUUGCCAAUCGCCGCCUCGACCUCCUCUGCUUCCCCGCGCCCAACUUGCUCCGCUCCUCGCUCCGGCUGCAUCAUUUUUUUCCGAAUCUUCACCUCGGCUGUCUCCGACGACAGUAUUGGAUUCAAGUGCUUCUCCUUUUUGAUUGGUCGUAUCUCACCCUACUUCUGCUGGCUUGUUGCUUCUUGUAAUUUCGAACGUAUAUAA